rnacentral:rRNA from 1 species
UGCAGUCGAGCGGAUGAAGGGAGCUUGCUCCUGGAUUCAGCGGCGGACGGGUGAGUAAUGCCUAGGAAUCUGCCUGGUAGUGGGGGAUAACGUCCGGAAACGGGCGCUAAUACCGCAUACGUCCUGAGGGAGAAAGUGGGGGAUCUUCGGACCUCACGCUAUCAGAUGAGCCUAGGUCGGAUUAGCUAGUUGGUGGGGUAACGGCCUACCAAGGCGACGAUCCGUAACUGGUCUGAGAGGAUGAUCAGUCACACUGGAACUGAGACACGGUCCAGACUCCUACGGGAGGCAGCAGUGGGGAAUAUUGGACAAUGGGCGAAAGCCUGAUCCAGCCAUGCCGCGUGUGUGAAGAAGGUCUUCGGAUUGUAAAGCACUUUAAGUUGGGAGGAAGGGCAGUAAGUUAAUACCUUGCUGUUUUGACGUUACCAACAGAAUAAGCACCGGCUAACUUCGUGCCAGCAGCCGCGGUAAUACGAAGGGUGCAAGCGUUAAUCGGAAUUACUGGGCGUAAAGCGCGCGUAGGUGGUUCAGCAAGUUGGAUGUGAAAUCCCCGGGCUCAACCUGGGAACUGCAUCCAAAACUACUGAGCUAGAGUACGGUAGAGGGUGGUGGAAUUUCCUGUGUAGCGGUGAAAUGCGUAGAUAUAGGAAGGAACACCAGUGGCGAAGGCGACCACCUGGACUGAUACUGACACUGAGGUGCGAAAGCGUGGGGAGCAAACAGGAUUAGAUACCCUGGUAGUCCACGCCGUAAACGAUGUCGACUAGCCGUUGGGAUCCUUGAGAUCUUAGUGGCGCAGCUAACGCGAUAAGUCGACCGCCUGGGGAGUACGGCCGCAAGGUUAAACUCAAAUGAAUUGACGGGGGCCGCACAAGCGGUGGAGCAUGUGGUUAAUUCGAAGCACGCGAAAACCUUACUGGCCUUGACUGCUGAGACUUUCCAGAAAUGGAUUGGUGCUUCGGGACUCCGACCAGGGGCUGCUUG